AGUAGUGGAUGUACCUUACUGGGGUGUUUUUAUAUCCUUGGAGGUUUGGAAAAUUAAAUCUUUUUUCAUCCAGAACAGAUACGAACUGUUGGAGGAAUAGCAGUCUUUUUGUUGGAAUGGACCUGCAUAAAAGACUCAACUAGCCAGCAUUGCACUCAAAUUAAUUACAUUUUAAGGGCUGAAUGGAAACCACAUGAAGAAGGCAGAUAUAAAUGUCCUUAAUGCAAAUCUGCAAUACUGUUUGUGCUGACUUCUUUUCCCCCUGCUUUCAUGUCCAGCCAGACAGUCAAGCCUGCUUCAUGUCCCUUACAGACUGCUUGCACUCUGAAGACAUGAAAAUUGAAAACAUUUCACAGAAUCACAGAAAGGACAAGGUUGGAAGGGACGUCUGAAAUCAUCCAGUCCAACUCCCUGCCUUGCAGGCUCACCUAGAUCACAUUGCACAGGAUGGCAUCCGGGCACGUUUUGGAUAUUGCCAGAGAAAGAGACUCCACAGCCUCUCUGGGCAAACUAUUCCAGUGCUCUGUCACCCAGAUCAUCCCUUUUUCCUGCAUUCUGUGAAAGGAAAGUAUAUUUCUUACAUUUAUAUUUUUAAUGUAAAUGCUCAUUUGGAAAAAGCUACUGAUGCUAAUGAGUAUUUCUUCCAGAAAUGGGAAGGUUGAAAAAUCUUUUGGUGAAGGAGAUUCAGGAUGAAUGACAACCUUCUAAAACAGGAAUGAAUUUGAUUGCGUCUUUUUUUAAAACCUGCUACCAGUGAUAUCCUAGAAAUAAUUAGUAAGUCAGUGUUAUUUGCUGUUUUUUUUCUGACUAGCAGACCAGGACACUGCAUUCAAUGCUAUGGUAAAAAUCUGAGUUGGAGUACUUGUGAUUUUAUAUUUUAAAUUAGACACAGAUCACGCAGAACGUACUGCUAACUCACGUGGUGGAGAUUAAUUUGUAUCUAUAAAUAACCCUGAAAAAUAUAUAUGUUCCCAGUUUUACUUGGACAUUCUCCUAAAACUUUUGUCUUGUGAAGAUUGUGCUUCUUCAUUAUUAAAAAUAAAAUAAAAAAAAACCCUCCCUCAUUCUAUACAAUUUUAUUUUUUCCCUAUACAAACCACAAUAAAAUUGGAAGAAUGUCCAUUCUUAUUAAAGCUGUUUCAGGCAAAGUAAUUUAUUACAACCACAAAAGUAUUAAUGAUACACCAAUUGUUAAAAAUGAAGUUUUAGAGACAUCUCAGGGUUCUUCACCAGCCUCAGAGUUCAAGGGAGACUAAUGUAGUGCUUUCGCUUCUUUUGGAGGAGAAAAAGAAAAUAAAAGUAAGCUUUAAUAUUAUUAUAAUUGCUUAUCUGAGAAACUGAGAAGAAUUAUGCUAAGCCUAAAUAUCAUUGAAUUUUGCGUUCACAGGAUGAAAUCCAACCAGAAAUUCUAUUUUCUCAGAAGCUGAUAAUGGGUAGCUCCAUGUAAUGUGCCAACACCUCCAAAUAUUUGUCUUUGUUCAUUGUGUUUCUAAUUUUACUGAAGACUUAAUGCAAGUUGAUGACUUGGAAAGGAAGCGUUUCUAAAAUCUGCAUAGUUAUUGUGGGAUAGCAAUAGUCGUAUUAUGUUCCUUUCACAAUAAGAUUAAAUCUGUCGUUGUUUAUUUUUAUGGCCCUCCUAAAUUUUAUUUAUUUAUUUAUUUUAAGGUCUAAACCAGUCUCCUUUGCUUUCAGUCCACUUUUACGGUACAUUCAACACCUCAGAGUCAAGCCAAUCAUGAUCACCAACUUCGGUGAAGCUGCCUGUACCGUGAGGACAAGCUUACGAGUGGCCUCCGACCCAAAUGCAUGUGCACGGCUCCCAGUCUUUGUAGCUGUAUUGCUCCAGGGACUUCUCCGUCAAAGCAGGGAACGGGACAACCUAUCACCUCUGCUGGUGCCAGGUGAACCUUGGCCCCAUAUACAGGAGAGAAGUUGGUGGAAGGACAAUUUCAGUGCAUUUGGGUGAUGACCAGACUGCCGUGCUUUAAGCCAAAAUGUUCUGAUGUGGAUGGGCUUUCGAGCUGAAACCCUUUUGUCUUCUAGCUGGUAGGGCGUGGAAGACUGCAGGAUGGGGUUAGAGAGUUGAUUAACAUCUGUACUCCCUUCUGGGGCCUUGUUCUGGUUUUGAGGCAAGAGUAACUUGGUGGCUAUUCAGCUGUGCUUUCCCCCUGCCAAAUCAGGCAUCCCAGAGAUCCAUGUCUUACUUACUCAUCACAUUUUGCUUUGUGUUUGUGUGUUAACAUUCCUUGCUGAAGCCAUGCAGUAUCGCAUCCCACAUGUCGACCAGGGUGUUGUUCUCAGUGUGGGAAAAUAUUGGAAAAUGAAAAGAUUUUUUUUUUUUUUUUUUUGGCAUUCAAAGUUUAUAGCUCAGAAACCUGAGGUAAAUGGUAUGUUACUACUGGGCCAAGGGGUCACCCUGUCUCCAUAAAACUGCCUCUUGCAAUGUGAUAUGAGCCAUUGUUCAGCCCUUGGGACAGACAGGGAGUUAAAAGGUGAGGCUGUCAUCCUCCUUGCGUCCCCUAGGUGCAGAGUGUUAUGGAGAGAAAUGCACAUGAGGGGAAGAUUUCUGAGCAUGAAAGACAGAAGGGUAUUUCAAUGUAAUUAGAGUUCAUCAAAUCUGUCAAAACUGUGUAGACCUGUGCAACUAAAGUGAGUGCAGCUGUGCUCUCUGCAUUGCACUUCAUGUUGUAUUUCAUGGGUAGCCAUAACUGUAGGUUACAAAGCUUGUUUAAUUUAUACUGGCAACGCUGAGUGUCUAGGAAAUAAUAGUAUAGUGGUGAUGUGUGAAUCUCAAAGUAUUCAGAGGUUUGUUCUGGUUUGGACUUUACUUUUUUGGACUUUUUUACUUUAGCAGUAAAAAGCACAGAUGCUGAUCCGAGCCUAUUGGGUCUCUCCAAACAGGCUGGGGACCCCAGUACAGAAGAAGUCUCCUAAGUUUUUUGGCCACUGCUAGAUUUAAUUUUGAACUGGAUGGGCCACUGCCCAAGGCAACUGCAACCAAAUGGUAGCAAUCAGCAGCAAAGAGAGCCAGAGAGAAAUGCAAAAGCUACACAAGUAAUGUAGCCGGGUUUCAUUUCAGUUGAACUCUGGCAUGUUUCUUCUUAUUGGCUCUGAAAUGUCUUGGCACGUAGAUCAAGAUAUCCAAGUGUUGUGGGUUAACCCCAGUAGGCAGCUAAGUGCUACAAAGCCACUUGCUCACUUCCACCCAUGGCCCCCCAACCCCAGAGGGCCAGGGGAAGAGGAAAAGAAGAGGAAAAGCAAGAAAACUUGGGGUCACAACACAGUUGCUUAACAAGCAAAGAAGAGGUGAAGAAGAAAGAAGGAAAACAAGAGAAUUGAUACAAAGCAAUCACUCACCACUUCCCAUGGGUAGAACAACGCCCAGCCAGCUCCCAAGCAGAAGAUGUCAUGGCAUUAUUUGGCCUUGAAUAUCUCUUUGGUUAGUUCUGCCUGCUCGUGUCCCCUCCCCACCGCCUGUGUGCGUCCCAAGUCUGUUCAUUGAAGGGCAGAGGGAGAAGCAGGGAAGGCCCUGAUGCUGUGCAAACACCCUGCAGCAACAGCUAAAACUUGGGCGUGUUAUCAGCAUUGUUUUUGUCACAAAUCUAAAACAGGACCAUCCGAGCCUUUAUGAAGAAAAUUAACUCCAUCCCAGCCAGGCCCACUGCACCAAGCAAUUUGAGCAGAAAUUUACUCUUCAUCCCUUUGGAAAUGCUUUAUGCCUGCAGUUCAGGAAGCUCAGCAGGAACCUGCGUCUUCAAACUGAGACUCCAAUGUCAGGCUAAUCUGUUCCCACGCAUGCCAGUUCCACCAGAGCAGGUCUGCCUUCAGAUACUUUGCUCUUUUCAACCGUGAAGGCACUGAAGGAAGAUAAUCUGAUGACCGGUGUAGAAGGAAGUUGUUGGGGCAGUCAUCUUGUCUUUGUAGCCAAAAUAGGUGGCAUAAAGAGUUUGAAACAAGGAACACUGAAGGUACUUGGCUACAAACUUACAUUUUUUUUGGCACUUCAAGGGCUUGCAUUUUAAAGAACAAUGUAUCCCCAGCUUUAAUUCUGUUUUACAUAAGCACUUCUAUUUAAGAAGUACCUUUACCUUUACUUAAAAGGGCAAAACUAACUGAAUAAUUUGCACUUCCAAGUGUAGUGAGACCUGUAUUACAUCUGAAGUUCACCGGAGACUGACAGCUCCUACGAGGUACCACAUUGAUUUCUCAGGAGCUUACCAGUUUGUAACCAGCCUGAACAAAAGAAGUACUGGAGGCCUCACAGAAGUUUUUAAGAUUUGUUGGCAUGACCUGUGGGGCUUGCAACUUCUAGGGAGGACAAAUGCUCUUUAUGAAGAUUCCUGGUCUCAGAAUCAUCUCUGGAGUGCAGACUGACAUCUCAUUGCCUCCUCUUUAAGUUCUAACAACUAGUAAAAUUUCACUGAAGGAAAAAAAAAAAAAAGGAAAUACGUCAGUUACGAUAUCAAUAAUGUCCAUGAAGCACGAUGUGUAUUCUUGCAUUUGUCUAUGAAAAGGCAAUGGUCAGGAGAAGAAUAUUCCUGGUUGUAGAUCUUGAAGACAAAACAAAAGGCUGACUGUUUGUCUAAUUAACAUACCUGUGACAGGAAGGAAAGCCAUGCACAUCAGCUCAGUGCCCAGAAGGCUCGCCGGAGCAGGCUGGUGAGUAGCACGGUAGCAGGCCUGUGGCCAUCCUUUCUUGUGUCCUGUGCACUCUGCACGUAUCCGUGCCACGUUGUUCUCCAGACCUCCGUGCUGUGCGAGCUUGCUGCUGGGAGGGGAGAACAAAUGUGUCUGGAAAGCUUCAACAUCUGCUGUAACCAUGAGUGCUUUGCUGGAUGAGCUCACCAGCAGGUAGGACAGCUCGUUCCUCUGGUCUGCUAUCAUUAGCUAGCCACCGUUGCUGACCCUCGGAGAAUUGUUAAUGCUUCUUUUUGGGCUUGAGAAAAGGUUAGUCAGCCGAAUAGGUAUUUUCUGCAUGGCCGAAAGGGAAGGACAAACAACUCUUUCCAAAGCGGCUGUGAAAGCAGCUUCUGCAUGUAUAGGAUAGAAGACAAAUGUGCUGGACAGGUUUUCUGUUACUUAUUUUCAUUUUUAUGUUUUCACAGAAUGAAUUUUAUCCAUGGGCAGGGGACUGAAGAAAUGUGCGUAUGAUUGCUCUACCCUCAGAAGAGGAUCUGAGGUGAAAAUGAGAGG